CAACGCCGGCGGUGGAGGAAUAGAAGUUAGUUUCGGUACGUAAACUCCUUUCGAUGGGAAGAUAAUGACGGUACCCAUAGAAGAAGCCCCGGCUAACUUCGUGC
rnacentral:rRNA from 1 species